UACGUAGGGGGCAAGCGUUGUCCGGAUUUAUUGGGCGUAAAGAGCGUGUAGGCGGCCAGAUAGGUCGGUUGUGAAAACUGGAGGCUCAACCUUCAGAGGUCGACCGAAACCAUCUGGCUAGAGUCCGGGAGAGGAGAGUGGAAUUCCUGGUGUAGCGGUGAAAUGCGCAGAUAUCAGGAGGAACACCGAUGGCGAAGGCAGGUCUCUGGGCCGAUACUGACGCUGAGGAGCGAAAGCGUGGGGAGCGAACAGG
rnacentral:rRNA from 1 species